UUCAGAGCUCAGGCACAUGGAGAUGGGGUCCCAGACUCAGAUGCUCUUUCUCCUGUUGCUCUGGAUCCCAGAUGCCCGAGGGGCCGUUGUGCUGACCCAGUCUCCAGCCUCCCUGGCUGCGGCUCCAGGAGAGAGAAUCACCAUGUCCUGUAAGGCCAAGCAGGGUAUUAGCAACAACCUACACUGGUACCAACAGAAAGUAGGCCAGGCCCCUCGGCUCCUCAUUACUUAUGCAACCAACCUGUAUCCAGGGGUCCCUGCCCGGUUCAGUGGCGGUGGCUCUGGAACAGAUUUCUCCCUCACAAUCAGCAACAUGGAGGCCGAGGACGCUGCAGUCUAUUACUGUCCGCAAUAUGCUAGCUAUCCUCCCACAGUGAUACAGUCCUGAACAAAAACCUGCCCA